GGAGAGUGAUCACUGCUGGUAGACUCGGGGAAAACCACCGUUAAUUUUAGGAAUCCUAAAUACCAUUCUGAACAUAGUCAACUUUUAAGCUUUCUCCCCUCCUAAAGGCGUGCGUUUUAACUUAAAAAAAAAAAAAAAAAAAAAAAAAAAGAGUAGAGUUAGGAGCAAACCUCUUGUUACAAAGGAUAGUAAUUAAAGCAGAAUGAGAUUUCCAAAUGUUCUAAAUGUUGCAGUUCGCUGCAUAGCCAUGGUUCUGCAAGGCAUAAUGAGUCAAAUUCAUUAAAGUAAACUUAGUUCCCUCAGAUAAUUACCCUUCUACAGCAUCGCAAGUGCCAACGAAUCACCUUAGGUCUGACUUACCAAGGAUAUGAAUUACAGUCUGGAAACAAAGUCCUACUUUAUUAACACAAACAUACGUUUGGGUUCCUGAUUAUUUUGAAUCUUGUAAGCACAAUAGCUCUCGAGUAUAUUUUCAUUUUUUUUAAUGUGGCAAGGAUGACUAGCCGUCUAUAAAUUUAUAGCUGCAUAUGUGAAAUUGUGUUUUUAAAGUCAUGAAGUUUUAAAAUGGCCCUGUGUUGUUAAGGGCCUUUUAUUGGUUAGACUCACAGAAUGAGUUUUGCUUUUAUUCCAUUUAACUUGACAAUUGUGGUUCAGAAAUAGAAGUGCUGCACCCUGCUAAAGGCCAUUAGUACUUCAGUUACUCCAAAGAGUCAGUGACCACAUUUUACAAACUAAACUCAUUUGACAUGAAACAUGAAACUCACUUCAUUCAAAACCUGAAGUGACCCGAGAAAUCCAGGACAUGAUAUUAUUACAAAAUCAUUAAAUUGUCCUUAGAAGAAUAGUACAUCAAUGCCAAUGCAGUUCAAAAGAAAGUCAGCUAAAAUUCUAUAGAUCAUGCCAGGAGUGGUGGGUUUUGUUUUGCCUUGUUUGAUUAAGAUCUUGAACACCUGGGCUCUCUUCCCUAAUCCCUCCUAAGCAAUGCAGUUACAAGAAUGUCCCUUGCUUGCCUGCUAUAUGUGGUUUUUAAUACAUGUUUUUAAUGUUAACACAUGAUUUUUUUAAUUAAGGAACAACAAUUUUGCUUUUUUUUUCCAUUGACAUUUUCUUGCUUGAGUUUGGCAAAGUGUUAGGGCUAAUUUAUAACUAAUCAGACUGCCUGAUCAUUUACCUGAACAUUAUAAAGUUAUGAUCUUGCUUUAAAUUUGAAAUAUUAAAAAGACUGAGAGGAGUUUUUUUUUUCCUUUUUUUUCCCACAUGUGUGUAUGCAUGUGUGUGUGCAUGUGCUGGAACAUGUGUACACGAUAGAAUGGAAAUCAGGUUUAACGUGAGGAGUCUUCCUUGAUUGCUGUCCACCUUAUUGAUGGAUGGAGGGAGGGUCUCUCUCUCUCUCUCUCUCUCAACCAAACUCAUCUUAUCAGGAGGGCUAAUCCAACUGACCAGCUUACUCUGGGCAUCCAGUCUCUGGCUUCCUAGUACAGGAGAUAGAGGUGGAUGGCCACCCCACUCAGGGCUCACAUCCAGUCUCUGCCUUCCCAGUGCAGGAGCUACAGGUGGACAGCCAACCCCACUCAGGGCUUAUGUGGAUGGUAGGGAUCUAAACUCUGGUCUUCACACCUGAGUGGUAACUCAGGGUCUGGUUUUGUUUUAGUGUUGUAAUGGAAGAUUAAUGAAAAGCAAAUAUCUGCUUUCCAAAUCGGCUAAUAUACCAUUGUACUGAUAGAACUGAUACUAAGUUAUAUUUCAGACAAAUUUUUACUUAAAUAUAAAAUACAAAAACAAUGACACUGUUAUUUUUCAAAUAAUGUCAUCUUAUGAUCCUUGCAAAGUACAAAUGCAAUGUGUUAUUACUCUC
rnacentral:lncRNA from 1 species